GCGAUUGCGCGCGACGGAUGAAUUUCGCUCUUCUACUUCACCCUCAUUGACCGGCAUAGCCCACGUUUCCACAGCGAAUCUUGUCUGGAUAAUCCCCCCCCACCUGCCCCGAAGCACUCCUCCUCGUCUCGUGGCUUUGCUAAUUUAAGCAAAGUGAGUGAAUGAGGGAGUGAGGGAGUGUGGGAGUGCGAGAGCCCGUGUGUGAAAAAGGAUUCUCUCUCUCACUCUCUCUGGGAGUUUUCUACCCCUUCAUCCACAUGGUGGAUCAAGCUUUUGGACUUGGAGAAUCCAGCACAAACCAUUCAUGGGUUCUCGCGAGUUCCAUGCGUGAGAAGCGCCUUUUCCUUUCUUUCACGGUGUUGUUUUGGAGUCUCAGUCACGUGGAAGGGUGGCGUAGAAUUGCUGGGUCUUGUUGGGGGGAGAGAGGGGUCGGGACGAGGCGUUGUGGUCAGGUGGGGUAGAGAAAGAGGGAGCAGGUUUGUGAAUUUGUUGUUUGUGAGCAGGCUUUUUGUUUCUUCGUUGGCAGGAGAGAAAGGGCGAGAGCGAGAGAGGAGUGGUUUUGUUGAUCGGUGUUGAGUUGUAGAGAGGUGAGAAGGAAGGGGAACAACAGGAGGGGAAUGGGGGAGGGAGAUGGGGAGGCUGGGUUCACAGCGGCACCAGCGAUUCCGGGUCCGCGCAUCUACAGCUGCUGCAAUUGCCGCUGCCAUGUGGCGGACCACGACGAGAUCAUCUCCAAGUGCUUUCAGGUGCGCAUUUAUGCGAAGAUUGUGAUGAAUUCGCUUCCAGGUAGAUUUUGCCUCUUUCGUGCUGAUGAUGAUUUCCUCGGUUUGUGAACAAUGGGAGAAGAUUUCUCUUUUUCGUCAGGAUGGCGGCAAUUUUUGUGCUGUAGGAGAAUUCUAUGACACCUAUUUUGAUUGAUUGGUGAGUGGUUUUGUAUUUGGGUGUACCAUCGGAUUGGCAUAUGAAUCGCAAUCGAGAGCGGUUUUCCUAAUUCGAGGAGACUUGGUGAGAUUCCGGUCACCGAUUGUGGGAAUUAUCUGAUUACAGUUUCUUCGUAAGGAGUUAGGGUGAAUUCAUAUUGUCGGUUUUUUCCUUCUGAUCGCAAUUCAUCUAUUCAAGUCCAACUGUGGUUGCUGCAUCUUGGUUUCAUCAGCAUCUUCAGUUUGGUAUGGGCCAUAAUGGUAUUGUUAUUCAUUCAGUGUGCGGGGCAAGUCACCGCAAGACGUCUACGAUUUCCUGCUGAAGGGUGAUGUAAAUAAACUGCCCGCAAAUAGAGAAUUAUUGUUGUGUGUAACCCGUAACUGUUUCUGUGCAUAAAAUUUGUCGGUAGCCGAUUACUAUCUAUCGUAUUUCAGUGGUGAGUGUGGUUGAAGCUAGGCUUAGAAUUUGAGUUAUGAUGAUUUGUUGCAGGAUGAUUAUUAUUUGUAGUACUUACAUCACGGCAUGGGGUUUAGACUGAAGAAAAAAAUCGCCUCUUCUCUUUCGGGGAGUAUAAUAUUCUAGAUAAAACAGACUCUCCCCUUCGUAAUGGGGUUUUGUGGUGGCUUUACCCCACAGAUAAUUCAAUACCGGUAGUCUCGUCGUCACUUUCUGCAGAUAGGUCGUUAAAAUUAUGCCGCUUCUUCAAAUCUAUGAAGCCAAGUCUCUCCAGAGCCCAAGUUUCGUUGAAUACUAGCGGCAGAUGGUUUACAUCUCGAAGUGGCGAGAUAUUUAGUUCAAGUGAAGUCUUUCUGGAAACAAUUCAACCGAAGACUGCUGGUAAUAGCUAUGGAUACCACCUCUGAUCAUGAAAAUUCCUUGUCUGGAGCUGUUGACGCUACAUUCUUCACUGUAGAGUGAGGAGUUAUUUUCCAGGCCGUAGUAUUUUAAUACAUCUAUCCAUUCAUUUUGGGUUUAUGUAUCUAACAUCUUUAGUUUAGGUUGAUGUCAUAAGUCGUUUACAAGUGUAUUGUAUGUAAGGCAUGACUUUUCCAUCAGAACUUAAAUUAACCUGAUUGUUUUCCGCGCCUUGGAUGAUUUUACAUCCUUCCUUCUUUCGACCUCAUGAAUGAGUACACUUACGGAAGGUAUAUGUUCGUAUUUGUUAAAGCCAUUUUUGUAUUAUCAUCGUUUGUAUUUAUUGUGGAAUGCUUCACAGCCCUAUCGAUGCAACUGGAAAGAAAGGCGUUUUGUUGAAUGACGAGGGCAAGUGGCAGCCCCAGGUAACCUUAGAAUAGAAUGAUAGCCUUAAGUCAAGCUAUUGAAGAUGAUGGGAGUGGAGCAAAUUUUAUUCAGAAAGAUCUUGUGUUCUAUGAUGAAGUUUGUUGUCGACAUCAGUGUGAGUUGCAAGGUGGAGAAUGAAUCAGGGAUUAUAGAAUGUUUACACUCUAGUUGAAGGGAAGAAACGGGAGGGCAUACUUAUUCACGAAUGUCGUGAAUGUGACAAUUGGGGUCAAAGAAGAUCGACAACUGAGGACGGGCCUGCAUACAGUUGCUGACAUAUGUUGCUACCAGUGUCAAGAAGUGCUGGGAUGGAAAUAUGAGAAAGCUUUUGAAGAGUCCCAGAAGUACAAGGAAGGAAAGUAUAUUCUUGAGAAGGUCAAAGUCAUGAAAGAGAACUGGUGAGAGGAUUGAUUUAAUAUUGUACUCGUGUUGGUUCAGACAAGUGUACAAGUGUGCUAUAUUUUUGACAGAUACCCUAUUGCACGAAUAAGCUAUGCUCGGCUUAAUUAGUAGGAGGUAGGUUUCAUCGGUUGUGGAGGUGUAGUAUAUGGAUUAGCAAUGUGAUGGUGUGGACGUCUUGUUACGAGACCCAUAACUUGUGAUCCAAGUUUUGAGCAUGAUUAAAGGUGUAAAAAUGAGGUGGUUGACAUUCAUGCCUGCGCAAUUGUGACCCAACUUCUUUGAAGA